CUACGACCGCCCGGGACGGCCACGGGAGAGAAGCGCGCAGGCGGCAGAAGGCGUGUGCCGAGAUGGACAUCGAACACCGCCCAGUCUCGGGCGAGCCAGAGUGCCGUCCCUUUGGCCGUGGAGAGGAGAGGAGCAGAUGAAAGACUAAAGGCAUUGAAAAACCCCGAAUCCCAUCCGGAUGGAAGACACUCCUCUACCGGCCAGGCCAAGUCCGUUCCCGGAGCCCAGGGGAACCCAGGAACGGGGAGCAGGACCUGCGGCAGCGGGAUCCGCCAGGCAGGGGGAAACGGGGCACGGGAGUGGGAUGCCAUGUCUGCCCCACCCAGCCCAGGCGUGCCAAGGGUGGGUGCCCUGGCUCGAGGGCCACCAGGUCUCCUGUGUGGUGGGAGAUGGGAGCAGCCGGACCCCUGCACUGAUCAGCGAGGGGCCGCCUGCCACUGCCACCCCCUGUGACGGUGGGUUCCCCCAUCGCAGCCCAGCCCCAGCCCCGCGGAUCCCACCGAGGGAAGCAAAAGCCACCGGUGGCUUCCCAUGUGCACUCCCAUUGUUGCCUGGUCCCUGGAGCCCAGGUGCUUGGUGCCAGAAGUGAGAACCCCCCUCGGGGCUCGUCCCCCCCCCCCAGUGGGUAAGUGACAAAACCAUCAGAGUAGCGUGUGCCCGGCCUCCUCCUUGUUCUCCAGCUCUCGUGUCUCUUGACAGCACCAGACUGGAGUCAAGCUCCACAGGGACUUCUUUCCUUGGUGAUUCAGCCAGGCCAGUUCCCUUGGCUGUGGUUUUGCUGGAUAGUCAGUAGGGACAGUGGGAAUCUCAUUCCUGCAUUCAUGCUCAUCACUAAUUAGAUGACAAGGCAUUUGGCUAUUUAUCAGGCACAUAUAAUAGCAGAUAUAAUUUCUAUGUGCUCUUUUUCUGGAUUAAGCGAAGGUGGCCUGUCCACCUUGGUCAGGAUUGGUAGAAUUUUGU